rnacentral:rRNA from 1 species
UACGUAGGGUGCGCGCGUUGUCGGGAAUUAUUGGGCGUAAAGAGCUCGUAGGCGGUCUGUCGCGUCGAAUGUGAAAACCCGGGGCUCAACUCCGGGCUUGCAUUCGAUACGGGCAGGCUAGAGUUCGGUAGGGGAGUCUGGAAUUCCUGGUGUAGCGGUGAAAUGCGCAGAUAUCAGGAGGAACACCGGUGGCGAAGGCGGGACUCUGGGCCGAUACUGACGCUGAGGAGCGAAAGCGUGGGGAGCGAACAGG